UUUGACACAAAAAAACUCCAACUUAGAUAUCUUAUAACGAGUAUUUAGCUCCAUCAAAUCAGUGGCAGUAUGGUGAAAGCUUCAAUUCAAUUGGCUCUCUUUGCGGUCUUGUUCCUUUUUGCCAUUGGUAUUCCUCCUUCCUUCCUAUUUGUUUUAUAAUCUGUUUAAAAUUCAUAGGUUUUCUUCAUGGUAAAUGAAGAAUAUCUCCAUUGUUAGGAAAAUUUCAACAUAUAUAAAAGUAAACAAAUACAUAUAAGUAUAACUUCCGAACAAAUUUAAUAUAUUUUAUGUUAGAAUAAAAUGUCUCCUCAUGUUAGGAGAUAUAAAUUAUCUUAUUCGGCUAUUAAAAUUAUGAUUUUAAUAUAUGACAUAUAUUAUGAUUUUAGUGGCUGAAGAAAAUAAUUUAUUUCCUGAUAUGAUGAGAUAAUUUAUUAUUAAAUUUAACUUAGAGAAAAUGUAUUGUGAAUAAAGAAUAUAAUUUUUAAGUUCUUUAUGUUUUAUUAUUUUCAGGUUUGGAAGUGCAAGCACUUGAAACUUCUUUCCCUUGCAAUGGAAAUGAAAUAUGUCUUGAGCAAUGUGUGAAAUUAUGCAAAAGGGUCAGACUAUGGGAAUGUAAAUCAGGACUUUGCAUUUGUGAAUGUUAUCCUCCAAUGUAACAAUGUAGCCA
rnacentral:lncRNA from 1 species